CCCUAGCCCUGAUGGCAGCGACAUCCUUUGACGGCGGGGUUCGCCGGCAAAGAUAGAGCGCACAGCAGGAUAAGCU
rnacentral:sRNA from 1 species